rnacentral:rRNA from 1 species
ACUUGCUUUCUUUGCUGGCGACCGGCGCACGGGUGAGUAACACGUAUCCAACCUACCCUUUACUCGGGGAUAGCCUUUCGAAAGAAAGAUUAAUACCCGAUGGCAUAGUUCUUCCGCAUGGUAGAACUAUUAAAGAAUUUCGGUCAUCGAUGGGGAUGCGUUCCAUUAGGUUGUUGGCGGGGUAACGGCCCACCAAGCCUUCGAUGGAUAGGGGUUCUGAGAGGAAGGUCCCCCCACAUUGGAACUGAGACACGGUCCAAACUCCUACGGGAGGCAGCAUG